UUUCUCAGACAGCCGUCCUCCCAGGGCCGGCCCGGGCUUCAGAGGCGCCCUAGGCGAGGCCGAGACGAGCGCCCCUUGGGAGCGCGUUUUCGAGCGGUCCCCGACAUUUCUUCGGGGGGGGGGGGGGGGUUGAGGAGCGAUGCCGAAC